GAUGAACGCUGGCGGCGUGCUUAACACAUGCAAGUCGAGCGAAGCACUUUGAAUUUUUCGGAAUGAGAAGUGACUGAGCGGCGGACGGGUGAGUAACGCGUGGGUAACCUGCCUCAUACAGGGGGAUAACAGUUAGAAAUGACUGCUAAUACCGCAUAGGUAUGGACACUGCAUGGUGACCAUAUUAAAAGUGCCAAGGCACUGGUAGAGGAUGGACUUAUGGCGCAUUAGCUGGUUGGUGAGGUAACGGCUCACCAAGGCGACGAUGCGUAGCCGACCUGAGAGGGUGACCGGCCACACUGGGACUGAGACACGGCCCAG
rnacentral:rRNA from 1 species